rnacentral:lncRNA from 1 species
GGAAUGGCGAAGACCUGCGUUGCAGUAUAUAUCGGACAAGACAAAGUUCAAUCGUACACUACUAAACUUGGCUGGACCAGACGCAGUGGACAAGUCGGGAGUAUUCGUCUUUGUAGAGGGGACCAAGUGUGGUUCCUCCGCAUGCCGUACGGCAUCUCCACUGGCAGUGAGGUCUUCCAGAGAUCGAUGGAGCAUCUGUUUGCUGGGCAGCCAUGUAAGAUAGUGGACGACAUCCUGGUGUGGGGGACACACACUGGAUGAACACGAUGAGCGCCUCAAACAGGUCCUCAACAGGAUUAGGGCUGUCAACGUGAAGCUGAAUCCAGAGAAGUGCAGAUUCAGGCUCCAUAACAUUCCCUACGUCGGGCAACUUCUCACAGCCAACAGAGUGAAACCUGACCUGGAAAAGACAGGCCAUCAUGCAGAUGCCCAAGCCAGCAGAAAAGCAGACACUGCAGCACUUUCUGGGUCUGACUAACUAUCUAAGUUCACGCCACAAUACAGUGAGGUGAUGGGGCUCCUCUAUCAGGAUACUGAAUGAUGCUGUAAGGAGCAACAUGACACUGCCCUGACCAAACUGAAAGAGUUGCUGUCGAAGUACUGGAGCACCGGUUAGCUAUGAUGUGGGCAAACCAGUGAUGAUAUCUGCAGAUGCAUCCCAGCAUGGUCUCGGAGAAAUAUGUCUACAAAUAAAAUUGUAUUUGUCACAUGCUUCGUAAACAACAGUGGAAUGCUUACUUAUGGGCCCUUCCCAACAAUGCAGAGAGAAAAAUAUAGAAAAAGAAUAACACAAGGAACAAAUACACAAUGAAUAACAAUAACUUGGCUGUAUGCAGAGGGUACCAGUACCGAGUUGAUGUGCAGGGGUAAGAGUGGCUCCAUCUCCGAUGAGCGAAGUGCCAGAGACACACCUGCUGCAGGGGUUGGAUUGAAUUUGGCUACCAGAGGAUUCAGUAUGCAUGCAAAGCGCUCAUGCAGUGACUACAGGAGGACCUAUGCCAACUGUUUUACAACAGUAGUUGACUGCAAGUGUGCCUCAAGUUUGAGCAGGCACGGCACCACCUCAGAUAGUGACUGGCUGCUGAUGUUUCAAAUAGGC